rnacentral:rRNA from 1 species
AUUGAACGCUGGCGGCAUGCUUUACACAUGCAAGUCGAACGGUAACAGGCCUUCGGGUGCUGACGAGUGGCGAACGGGUGAGUAAUGCAUCGGAACGUACCCAGAGGUGGGGGAUAACGCAGCGAAAGCUGUGCUAAUACCGCAUGUGAUCUGAGGAUGAAAGCGGGGGACCGAGCAGCAAUGUUUGGCCUCGCGCCUUUGGAGCGGCCGAUGUCGGAUUAGCUAGUUGGUGGGGUAAAGGCCUACCAAGGCGACGAUCCGUAGCUGGUCUGAGAGGACGACCAGCCACACUGGGACUGAGACACGGCCUAGACUCCUACGGGAGGCAGCAGUGGGGAAUUUUGGACAAUGGGCGCAAGCCUGAUCCAGCAAUGCCGCGUGCGGGAAGAAGGCCUUCGGGUUGUAAACCGCUUUUGGCAGGAACGAAACGGUGUCCGCUAAUACCGGGCGCUAAUGACGGUACCUGCAGAAUAAGCACCGGCUAACUACGUG